rnacentral:rRNA from 1 species
UACAGAGACUGCAAGCGUUAUUCGGAUUCACUGGGCGUAAAGGGUGCGCAGGCGGCCAAGUGUGUGAGGCGUGAAAGCCCGGGGCUUAACCCCGGAAUUGCACCUCAAACUACAUGGCUAGAGCAUUAGAGAGGGUAGCGGAAUUCACGGUGUAGCGGUGAAAUGCGUAGAUAUCUGGAGGAAUACCGGUGGCGAAGGCGGCAUCCUGGACCGGCAUUGACGCUGAGGAGCGAAAGCCAGGGGAGCAAACGGG